CUUUGAUCCAUCACCUAUCUUUCUAUUGGUAGUCAUAGGUGGCGAAGGAUUAAUCAUGAUCUUCUUAUCCUGAUGAGUAAAAUUACAGGAGUUGGUUCGGCCAUAAAUCGUAAUAUCAUUGUCAAAUAGCCCAAGUCGACCUAAUAUGAUACUUCCAACUUCCAUAGGUAAGACAUCACACCAAACAUGAUCCUGAUAAGAAUGAAGCUGUGUCUAAAUUUGAUGAGAAUAAAGGAAGAAUCUAUCCAGAACACAUGGUAUGGGCCG
rnacentral:lncRNA from 1 species